GGUGCAUUUCCACGGCAAAACAGCUGACGGAGAUUACAGCCUCUUCUACAUCGAGGUAAUGAUGCUCAGGAGAGACUCCGAGCCUCCAGCGGCGCCAGCAGCGCAGCAGCGCCAGCCACGGGAGCUCCUGUUCGGCGGACAGCGGCGCCAGCACAAAGAGCAAGAAAAGGGCAAAGCGCGCGAAGCAUGACCUGAUGAUGACCAACAGUUUACUCAGCUAUUUGUCCGUCAACAAGUAGCUGUAGUAUUUCCGGUGUUAUCGUUAGAUGUGUUUCCGCCAAAGUGCGUGAUGUAGGAAUGUACAUUGUAUGUUUUUGUAGUUAUUAUUAUUCCACAGCUAGUGGACUGAGACUCGAUAUGAGCCAUGAUCUGUUCUCACAUUUUGUAUUACAUAUUUUAUACGACGUUUUAUAUCAUUAAAUAACUAAAAGAAUUUUAAAAAAUAUUUAACGCCCACUUUUGUGUAUUUCUUCUAUGAAGAAUUUUAUAUUAUCAAAUAAAUAUUGAUGUGACAAA